CCCAUCUGGGUAACUGGGUGGGGGAAGUGGCGAAAGGGGCAGUAAGGCGUGGGUAACCUACCCCGGGGACGUGGAUAGCCGUUCUAACGGACGGGUAAUACGCGGCGAUUCGGCGAAGGGGCAUCUCUUUGCCGGGAAAUGAAUUUCGCCUCGGGAGGGGCUCACGUGAUAUUAGCUUGUUGGCGGGGUAACGGCCCACCAAGGCGAAGAUGUCUAGCGGGUGUGAGAGCACGACCCGCGCCACUGGCACUGAGACACUGGCCAGACACCUACGGGUGGCUGCAGUCGAGGAUCUUCGGCAAUGGGCGCAAGCCUGACCGAGCGACGCCGCGUGUGCGAUGAAGGCCUUCGGG
rnacentral:rRNA from 1 species